rnacentral:rRNA from 1 species
GACGGACGCUGGCGGCGUGCUUAACACAUGCAAGUCGAGCGGUAAGGCCCUUUCGGGGGUACACGAGCGGCGAACGGGUGAGUAACACGUGGGUGACCUGCCCUCAGCUCUGGGAUAAGCCUGGGAAACCGGGUCUAAUACUGGAUAUGACUCCAUGACGCAUGUUGUGGGGUGGAAAGCCUUGUGCGGCUGAGGAUGGGCCCGCGGCCUAUCAGCUUGUUGGUGGGGUGANGGCCUACCAAGGCGACGACGGGUAGCCGGCCUGAGAGGGCGACCGGCCACACUGGGACUGAGACACGGCCCAGACUCCUACGGGAGGCAGCAGUGGGGAAUCUUGCGCAAUGGGCGAAAGCCUGACGCAGCGACGCCGCGUGAGGGAUGACGGCCU